rnacentral:rRNA from 1 species
CCCUUAGAUGUUCGGGGUCGCACGCGCGCUACACUGAAGGAAUCAGCACGUCUUUCUCCUUGUCCGAAAGGACUGGGUAACCCGCUGAACCUCCUUCGUGCUAGGGAUUGGGGCUUGUAAUUCUUCCCCAUGAACGAGGAAUUCCCAGUAAGCGCGAGUCAUAAGCUCGCGUUGAUUACGUCCCUGCCCUUUGUACACACCGCCCGUCGCUACUACCGAUUGGAUGGUUUAGUGAGAUCCUCGGAUUGGUCCCGGCGCGGCCUCUGGUCGUGCCGGAGUGCCGAAAAGAAUGUCGAACUUGAUCAUCUAGAGGAAGUAAAAGUCGUAACA